UACGGAGGGGGCGAGCGUUAUUCGGAAUUAUUGGGCGUAAAGGGCGCGUAGGCGGCUGUGCAAGUCAAAGGUGAAAUCCCUCGGCUCAACUGAGGAACUGCCUUUGAAACUGCACGGCUUGAGUCCGGGAGGGGGUAGCGGAAUUCCCAGUGUAGCGGUGAAAUGCGUAGAUAUUGGGAGGAACACCAGUGGCGAAGGCGGCUACCUGGACCGGAACUGACGCUGAUGCGCGAAAGCGUGGGUAGCAAAC
rnacentral:rRNA from 1 species